UCAUCUUCGGGGGUAGAGCACUGUUUCGGCUAGGGGGCCAUCCCGGCUUACCAACCCGAUGCAAACUACGAAUACCGAAGAAUGUUAUCACGGGAGACACACGGCGGGUGCUAACGUCCGUCGUGAAGAGGGAAACAACCCAGACCGCCAGCUAAGGUCCCAAAGUCAUGGUUAAGUGGGAAACGAUGUGGGAAGGCACAGACAGCCAGGAUGUUGGCUUAGAAGCAGCCAUCAUUUAAAGAAAGCGUAAUAGCUCACUGGUCGAGUCGGCCUGCGCGGAAGAUGUAACGGGGCUAAACCAUGCACCGAAGCUGCGGCAGCGACGCUUAUGCGUUGUUGGGUAGGGGAGCGUUCUGUAAGCCGUUGAAGGUGUGCUGUGAGGCAUGCUGGAGGUAUCAGAAGUGCGAAUGCUGACAUAAGUAACGAUAAAGCGGGUGAAAAGCCCGCUCGCCGGAAGACCAAGGGUUCCUGUCCAACGUUAAUCGGGGCAGGGUGAGUCGACCCCUAAGGCGAGGCCGAAAGGCGUAGUCGAUGGGAAACAGGUUAAUAUUCCUGUACUUGGUGUUACUGCGAAGGGGGGACGGAGAAGGCUAUGUCAGCCGGGCGACGGUUGUCCCGGUUUAAGCGUGUAGGUGUGUGUUCCAGGCAAAUCCGGUUCACUUUAACACUGAGGCGUGAUGACGAGGCACUACGGUGCUGAAGUGAUAAAUGCCCUGCUUCCAGGAAAAGCCUCUAAGCAUCAGGUAACACGAAAUCGUACCCCAAACCGACACAGGUGGUCAGGUAGAGAAUACCAAGGCGCUUGAGAGAACUCGGGUGAAGGAACUAGGCAAAAUGGUGCCGUAACUUCGGGAGAAGGCACGCUGAUAUGUAGGUGAAGUCCCUGCGGACGGAGCUGAAAUCAGUCGAAGAUACCAGCUGGCUGCAACUGUUUAUUAAAAACACAGCACUGUGCAAACACGAAAGUGGACGUAUACGGUGUGACGCCUGCCCGGUGCCGGAAGGUUAAUUGAUGGGGUUAGCGGCAACGCGAAGCUCUUGAUCGAAGCCCCGGUAAACGGCGGCCGUAACUAUAACGGUCCUAAGGUAGCGAAAUUCCUUGUCGGGUAAGUUCCGACCUGCACGAAUGGCGUAAUGAUGGCCAGGCUGUCUCCACCCGAGACUCAGUGAAAUUGAACUCGCUGUGAAGAUGCAGUGUACCCGCGGCAAGACGGAAAGACCCCGUGAACCUUUACUAUAGCUUGACACUGAACACUGGUCCUUGAUGUGUAGGAUAGGUGGGAGGCUUUGAAGCGUGGACGCCAGUCUGCGUGGAGCCGUCCUUGAAAUACCACCCUUUAAUGGCUGGUGUUCUAACGUGGACCCGUAAUCCGGGUUGCGGACAGUGUCUGGUGGGUAGUUUGACUGGGGCGGUCUCCUCCCAAAGAGUAACGGAGGAGCACGAAGGUUAGCUAAUCCUGGUCGGACAUCAGGAGGUUAGUGCAAUGGCAUAAGCUAGCUUGACUGCGAGAGUGACGGCUCGAGCAGGUGCGAAAGCAGGUCAUAGUGAUCCGGUGGUUCUGAAUGGAAGGGCCAUCGCUCAACGGAUAAAAGGUACUCCGGGGAUAACAGGCUGAUACCGCCCAAGAGUUCAUAUCGACGGCGGUGUUUGGCACCUCGAUGUCGGCUCAUCACAUCCUGGGGCUGAAGUAGGUCCCAAGGGUAUGGCUGUUCGCCAUUUAAAGUGGUACGCGAGCUGGGUUUAGAACGUCGUGAGACAGUUCGGUCCCUAUCUGCCGUGGGCGCUGGAGAAUUGAGGGGGGCUGCUCCUAGUACGAGAGGACCGGAGUGGACGCAUCACUGGUGUUCGGGUUGUCAUGCCAAUGGCACUGCCCGGUAGCUAAAUGCGGAAGAGAUAAGUGCUGAAAGCAUCUAAGCACGAAACUUGCCCCGAGAUGAGUUCUCCCUGAGACUUUAAGUCUCCUGAAGGAACGUUGAAGACGACGACGUUGAUAGGCCGGGUGUGUAAGCGCAGCGAUGCGUUGAGCUAACCGGUACUAAUGAACCGUGAGGCUUAACCUU
rnacentral:rRNA from 1 species